UGAUCCUACGGGAGGCAGCAGUGAGGAAUAUUGGUCAAUGGGCUUACGCCUGAACCAGCCAAGUCGCGUGAGGGAAGACUGCCCUAUGGGUUGUAAACCUCUUUUGUCAGGGAGCAACGCCGGCUACGUGUAGCCGGACUGAGAGUACCUGAAGAAAAAGCAUCGGCUAACUCCGUGCCAGCAGCCGCGGUAAUACGGAGGAUGCGAGCGUUAUCCGGAUUUAUUGGGUUUAAAGGGUGCGCAGGCGGGAGAUCAAGUCAGCGGUAAAAUCGCGGGGCUCAACCUCGCUCCGCCGUUGAAACUGG
rnacentral:rRNA from 1 species